CGGACGGGUGAGUAAUGUCUGGGAAACUGCCUGAUGGAGGGGGGUAACUACUGGAAACGGUAGCUAAUACCGCAUAACGUCGCAAGACCAAAGAGGGGGACCUUAGGGUCUCUUGCCAUCGGAUGUGCCCAGAUGGGAUUAGCUAGUAGGUGGGGUAACGGCUCACCUAGGCGACGAUCCCUAGCUGGUCUGAGAGGAUGACCAGCCACACUGGAACUGAGACACGGUCCAG
rnacentral:rRNA from 1 species